rnacentral:lncRNA from 1 species
CCUUGUUCAGAAUGCACAACUGCUGCAGCGUUGAGUGGGCGUCUCUCAUCCGUACACCCUGAAGGUCUAGCUGCUGAGCUCCGGAUGAAGGAUUUCCCUGGCACUUGCGCCCAUGCAUCGAUCCGAACUCUUCGUCGGUUAGUGGUCGCAAUGACCUGUGUUUUGACACCGUGGCUUUCCCUCUUAGGUCCCGUCGUUGUUGUUGCUGCAGCUCUUUGUCCAACGGGAGAGCGUGAAUGUGGAAUUGUGGAAGCAUCCCCGCUUGGAGAUGGAAGCUCUUCGGUCACUAGUAUUGUUUCACGUUGUUCUGGGGCUUUGCUGAGGUCGUGGACUAACUCUCUUAUCUCUUUGUAAUUUGGUGUGAUUAGUGUUACCUUGUUCUCAGUGCAUGGAUUACUGGCCGCCUGGACAGGUGCGUCUCCGACCGUCCCGUUUUCUGAACCUCCGCUUGAUCGUGUAUUGGCGGCCUUGUCGGGGCCUCCACCUUGUUUCACUUCAACUUCUUGGCCUCGUGCGUUCACCGACUGAUGUUUUACACUGCUUGAUUUAAGUCUCCAGUCAAUUGUAACAGGCGAAAUACCCGGUUGAUUUACCACGAGGGCAGAUUUGGGUCGUGCGUAAUUAUCUUGGCGACUGUUGAUCUGUAAAUUGCUUUCCGUUAUAUGUGUAGAUAGGACUGCGUCCCCCUUCGCUGUGGACGGAAUACUAUUGACCCUAUCUGGAAUUGAACGUGAUGGUGAUGUCGUUUCCUCCCUGGUUAAUCUCGAGAGCCCUGGCCGUAUGCCUUCGAAACCAAUCAUUUUCAAUUCUUCCUCAAAACCAUCGUCGUGUAAACUCUCAGCUAAAUAGAAAGAAAGAACCUAUACACGUUAGAGAAGUCUACUCACAGAGAUCCAAUAAAUCUAUAUGUAAUUGUAUGGAAGUACUUUUGUAUUUGAUGUUAUAGGCUAGUGAUUGUACUACACGUCAAUUUAAUCAUGUGACAAAGGCAUUCUUGGUAUAAUGAAAUGUGAUUCCUGCCUUGUUCCUUACCCCUAUCUUUGUGGAAAUCUACCACAAGCUUCUUUAUCCC